rnacentral:rRNA from 1 species
AUUGAACGCUGGCGGCAGGCUUAACACAUGCAAGUCGAGCGGUAACAGAGAGAAGCUUGCUUCUCUGCUGACGAGCGGCGGACGGGUGAGUAAUGCCUAGGAAUCUGCCUAGUAGUGGGGGAUAACUUGCCGAAAGGUAAGCUAAUACCGCAUACGUCCUACGGGAGAAAGGAGGGGACCUUCGGGCCUUUCGCUAUUAGAUGAGCCUAGGUCGGAUUAGUUAGUUGUUGGGGUAAUGGCUCACCAAGACCGCGAUCCGUAACUGGUCUGAGAGGAAGAUCGGUCACACUGGAACUGAGACACGGUCCAGACUCCUACGGGAGGCAGCAGUGGGGAAUAUUGGACAAUGGGGGGAACCCUGAUCCAGCCAUGCCGCGUGUGUGAAGAAGGUCUUAGGAUUGUAAAGCACUUUAAGUUGGGAGGAAGAGCAGUUAACUAAUAUUUGACUGUUUUGACGUUACCGACAGAAUAAGCACCGGCUAACUUCGUGCCAGCCGCCGCCGUAA